UCAUAUGCUUGUCUCAAAGAUUAAGCCAUGCAUGUCUCAGUACAAGCCAAUUUAAGGUGAAACCGCGAAAGGCUCAUUAAAUCAGUUAUGGUUCCUUAGUUCGUACACACAUUUACUUGGAUAACUGUGGUAAUUCUAGAGCUAAUACAUGCAAAUUGAGUUCCAACCGGAGACGGAAGGAGCGCUUUUAUUAGAUCAAAACCAAUCGGUGGCGGGCUUGCUCGUCAUCGUACAAUUUGGUGACUCUGAAUAACUUUAUGCUGAUCGCACGGUCUUGCACCGGCGAUAGUACUUUCAAAUGUCUGCCUUAUCAACUGUCGAUGGUAGGUUCUGCGCCUACCAUGGUUGUAACGGGUAACGGGGAAUCAGGGUUCGAUUCCGGAGAGGGAGCCUGAGAAACGGCUACCACAUCCAAGGAAGGCAGCAGGCGCGCAAAUUACCCACUCCCGGCACGGGGAGGUAGUGACGAAAAAUAACGAUACGGGACUCAUCCGAGGCCCCGUAAUCGGAAUGAGUACACUCUAAACCCUUUAACGAGGAUCAAUUGGAGGGCAAGUCUGGUGCCAGCAGCCGCGGUAAUUCCAGCUCCAAUAGCGUAUAUUAAAGUUGUUGCGGUUAAAAAGCUCGUAGUCGAAUCUGUGUCUCGCACCGUCGGUUCAUCGUUCGCGGUGUCAACUAGCGUGUUGCGAGACGUCCUGCCGGUGGGCCAUUUAUUUGGCCCAAUUCAAUCCCGUCGCGGUGCUCUUCAUUGAGUGUCGAGGUGGGCCGGCACGUUUACUUUGAACAAAUUAAAGUGCUUAAAGCAGGCUAAAAUUUCGCCUGAAUACUGUGUGCAUGGAAUAAUGGAAUAGGACCUCGGUUCUAUUUUGUUGGCUUUCGGAACCCCGAGGUAAUGAUUAAUAGGAACGGAUGGGGGUAUUCGUAUUGCGACUAUAGAGGUGAAAUUCUUGGAUCGUCGCAAGACGAACAGAAGCGAAAGCAUUUGCCAAAAACGCUUUCAUUGAUCAAGAACGAAAGUUAGAGGUUCGAAGGCGAUCAGAUACCGCCCUAGUUCUAACCAUAAACGAUGCCAGCUAGCGAUCUGUCGACGUUCCUCCGAUGACUCGACAGGCAGCUUCCGGGAAACCAAAGCUUUUGGGUUCCGGGGGAAGUAUGGUUGCAAAGCUGAAACUUAAAGGAAUUGACGGAAGGGCACCACCAGGAGUGGAGCCUGCGGCUUAAUUUGACUCAACACGGGAAACCUCACCAGGCCCGGACACCGGAAGGAUUGACAGAUUGAGAGCUCUUUCUUGAUUCGGUGGGUGGUGGUGCAUGGCCGUUCUUAGUUGGUGGAGCGAUUUGUCUGGUUAAUUCCGAUAACGAACGAGACUCUAGCCUGCUAACUAGGCGUAUCGCGACAUCCCAAAGGCCCACCGUCCGUUUUGGUUUCUACCUGGCGUGAUGGUGCGGUUUUUACUGUCGGCGUACAAAUAAUUCUUCUUAGAGGGACAGGCGGCUUUCAGCCGCACGAGAUUGAGUAAUAACAGGUCUGUGAUGCCCUUAGAUGUUCUGGGCCGCACGCGCGCUACACUGAAGGAAUCAGCGUGUUUUCCCUGGCCGAGCGGCCCGGGUAACCCGCUGAACCUCCUUCGUGCUAGGGAUUGGGGCUUGCAAUUGUUCCCCAUGAACGAGGAAUUCCCAGUAAGCGCGAGUCAUAAGCUCGCGUUGAUUACGUCCCUGCCCUUUGUACACACCGCCCGUCGCUAAUACCGAUUGAAUGAUUUAGUGAGGUCUUCGGACUGGUACUCGAUAGCGUUUCGGCGUCGUCGUUGUUGUCGGAAAGAUGACCAAACUUGAUCAUUUAGAGGAAUUAAAAGUCGUAACAAGGUUUCC
rnacentral:rRNA from 1 species